rnacentral:rRNA from 1 species
UACGUAGGGGGCUAGCGUUGUCCGGAUUUAUUGGGCGUAAAGAGCGUGUAGGCGGCCAGGCAGGUCCGGUGUGAAAACUCGAGGCUUAACCUCGAGAUGUCAUCGGAAACCAUCUGGCUAGAGUCCGGAAGAGGAGAGUGGAAUUCCUGGUGUAGCGGUGAAAUGCGCAGAUAUCAGGAAGAACACCAAUGGCGAAAGCAGCUCUCUGGGACGGUACUGACGCUGAGACGCGAAAGCGUGGGGAGCGAACAGG